AUCAUUCAAAUGCUUCUAGACAGCGUAUCCUUCCUUUUCUCACCAUGGACCACAUUCUUUCCACAGGUCCCUUUGAUGAGGCUGCAGCUAACCCAGAGAAGGAGGGUCGUCUUCUCCUGAGUUGUUGUAUCCUUCACGGUUUUUCUACUUGCAGGGCACCCUCUUCAGUUAUCCUCAGCCAUAAGGGUGGUGAUUUUGACUGGAGGAGGAAGCAGCUUGCAGAUCUUCUCAAAGACUCCCCAAGCCUGGCACUGAAGGGAAUUACAUUUACAGACCACUCCACUGUAUAUUUUUCAUCAGCUCAUCUGAGCAGACCAGACUACCUGCAAAUUACAUAUGAGAUUUCAAUAGGCAAAGUAUAUUCUUAUACGUGUGUUUGCAUGCGCGUGCACCCACACCAGCAUUUUGGGGACACCUGAUUCAAAGCAGGCAGGAGUUCAGCUCUCAGAAUGACACAUUUUAACUGUUUGGAUGCUAAAAACAUAGAAGACAUCUAUUAUUUAUAUUAUCUAUAUACAUCUUUGGGUUUUGGCCAACACUGUGUAGUCAUUGUGAAUGAUCUCAAAGUGCUUUACAAACUACAUAUGCACAGGAAUUCCUUCCAUUCUGAACUGUCUAUCUUUAUGGGGUGGGUGGCAGCCAAGGAGAUAAACAGUGUAUAGCACACUGCACAACACAUGUGAAUUGCUCAAUGUGUAGAGGGAUAUUUGUGGCCAAAGGAACAUGUGGGAGUUCAUCCCCCUACCCAGUGCAUCAUGCUGGAAAAUGUUAAUAUUUUAAAGGUUUGUUUAAACAAAAAUCAGUUGUUUGCUUCAGACAGGUAUGAUCUGAUUUAAUCAAAAAGAGCUAUUACUUUUUCUUUUCUUUUCUUUUCUUUUUUCUUUUAAUAUAACUUUCCAAAGUGUUGCUUUAUCAUUAAGAUCUCUAAAACAUGCCUGUUUCACAAAUUAUUUCUUCUAAACAUCAAAUAUUAAUAACUGAUGCCAUGGUGCACUAAAAGAGAAUGCAUUUGAAUAUCUGAGAGGACAGUAUAUAUAUAGUAUAUAGAGAUUCAUAAUGUUGACUAGUGGACCAAAGUGACAGACAUGAACCAGAAUGAGAAGCGUGAACUGUACAAUCAAAUGUGCUACUUCCAAGCAAGACAGUUUGCCUGAAUUUGUUUCUGGUGUUCUCCAGUGAGGAUUAUACCUGGUUGCAUCCUCUGUCUGCUUUUUACUUCAUAAAUCAUGUUAGAAUUGGGACUAGGACCUACAUCCCCUAAUCUCUGUUUUGUAGUGCCUUGUCUUUUGUAUUUUAGACUCGUUGGGGGCAGAGACAAUCAAUUAUUGUAUGACUGUACAACACCUAGCACAAUGGGAUCUGAACUGGUUGGCCUCUAGCCAUUACCAUUAUUUAAAUGUUAAUUAGUAAUAAUAGUAAUAACUCCAGGUGACUUUCACCAAAGAUUCUUUUAGCAUUGAACUAUUUCCAAAAGAAGACUUCAAAAAGAUGCUUUAAUGCUCCAGAGAGAGGUAUGUUGACUAAAGUAUAGACCCUCAAAGCAAUAUGAAAAAGGGGGAUUGCUAACCUUCAUUUUACAUCAUGUUCUCGCCUUUCUACAUGAUCCUUCUUCCAACUGCUCCUUUUGCAUCCUUCACCACUCUCAUCUUCCCAUCUCCUUCUAGGCUGCCUCUUAGUCUUGCAACAGUCUCUCUCUCUCUCUCUCUCUCUCUCUCUCUCUCUUUUUGUGUGCCAUUUAAGCCACUGUCUCUUUCUUCAGAUCCCUCUUCAGAACAAGUUUCUUCUGCAAGACAUUUCAGAGUUAACCAACCAAAGGAAUUUAAUUGAUAAAAAGAUAGGUUAAAAACACUGAUAAGAAAUAUGUGAAACAAAACAAUAACUAUUAUCUGCUCUCUGUAGAAAAAAACACAUUCCCCCCCAAAACAAGGUCCCCAUUCCACUGUUCACUCUGUCCCACACGCACAAUGAUCUGUUGUGUUGUCGGUCUAAUUUAGACCACUAGAUUCUCUGGGCAUGGACGGUUUUCUGACAUGCACACCUAUGGCACUAUAUAAAUAAUAACAGCACAUAUACCAACAACAUUCUUUUAGCCUAGGCUUGCAUGUGCUCACCAAGGGAUUCAAUGUAUUCGCCCCUCCAUGCUUUGAACUUCAAGUCAAACCAUUCAUGAAGGGGCCACAGAUGGGAAUCAGAGCUGCUGCCUUUGAAUAAAGAUUGGGGAAGCAGAAUUGGGGGGAGGGGG
rnacentral:lncRNA from 1 species